GACGAACGCUGGCGGCGUGCCUAAUACAUGCAAGUCGAGCGAAUCAACAGGAGCUUGCUCCUGUUGGUUAGCGGCGGACGGGUGAGUAACACGUGGGCAACCUGCCUGUAAGACUGGGAUAACACCGGGAAACCGGUGCUAAUACCGGAUAAUCUUUUUCCUCUCAUGAGGAAAAACUGAAAGUCGGUUUCGGCUGACACUUACAGAUGGGCCCGCGGCGCAUUAGCUAGUUGGUGAGGUAACGGCUCACCAAGGCGACGAUGCGUAGCCGACCUGGGAGGGUGAUCGGCCACACUGGGACGGAGACACGGCCCAGACGCCUACGGGAGGCAGCAGUAGGGAAUCUUCCACAAUGGACGAAAGUCUGAUGGAGCAACGCCGCGUGAGCGAUGAAGGCCUUCGGGUCGUAAAGCUCUGUUGUUAGGGAAGAACAAGUACCGGAGUAACUGCCGGUACCUUGACGGUACCUAACCAGAAAGCCACGGCUAACUACGUGCCAGCCGCCGCCGUAACAC
rnacentral:rRNA from 1 species